rnacentral:pre_miRNA from 1 species
UUAACUCGAAAUUUGUAUGAUGUUGGAGCGAUUGCCUGCGUUUGCCGCUAGAGGCGCUGUUCCGACUGCAUACAAAUUUGAGUUU